CUUAGGGCUUCUUUCUGGAUGCUCAUAUAGGCUACACGUUGACUUGCAAUGCACAAUUAAACAUUGGAUCAUGGCAUGGGGGUUGUGUCAUGUAUUGUCUUUGUGUUCUGCCAGAAGUCCAGUCCAGUGCCGUCCAUACAUGGCGAUUCGCUGUGCUUGACUUGGACUGAAAUAGGUGCCGGUACUGUUUACAUUUUAGUUGCACAAUACUUUUGAGGUAAUAUUCUUGAAGAGGAACAGGAGCUCAAGCAGUAGAAAAUGUGAAGUGCUGCUACUCAGCUCCAGUGAGCUCCUGCCCAAGUCGAACACUGGCGAUUCACAUAAAGGCUACUAGCCUUGAAUCACACACACACAAUCUAUCUCUUUCUCUCACACCAAGUGAUAAUAGGAGACAGACACAUGAGAGAAGAGAGAGAGAGGGGGAGAGAGAUCAGUGUAUAAUCUUCAGUAAACAAUGAUUUACCUUGGUAUAUAUUAAAAUGAGGAGAGGAGAAGAGUUCAUAAUUGAAAUGGUCUCUAAUGUAUUUAAUGUCUAUCUAUCUAUCUGGAUGUAUAGUACUGUGUAAAUGACCAGGUGUUGUAGUUAAUGUCUAUCUAUCUAUCUGGAGGUAUAGUACUGUGUAAAUGACCAGGUGUUGUAUUUAAUGCCUAUCUAUCUAUCUGGAUGUAUAGUACUGUGUAAAUGACCAGGUGUUGUAUUUAAUGUCUAUCUAUCUAUCUGGAGGUAUAGUACUGUGUAAAUGACCAGGUGUUGUAGUUAAUGUCUAUCUAUCUAUCUGGAUGUAUAGUACUGUGUAAAUGACCAGGUGUUGUAGUUAAUGUCUAUCUAUCUAUCUGGAGGUAUAGUACUGUGUACAUGACCAGGUGUUGUAUUUAAUGUCUAUCUAUCUAUCUGGAGGUAUAGUACUGUGUAAAUGACCAGGUGUUGUAGUUAAUGUCUAUCUAUCUAUCUGGAGGUAUAGUACUGUGUAAAUGACCAGGUGUUGUAUUUAAUGUCUAUCUAUCUAUCUGGAGGUAUAGUACUGUGUAAAUGACCAGGUGUUGUAUUUAAUGUCUAUCUAUCUAUCUGGAGGUAUAGUACUGUGUAAAUGACCAGGUGUUGUAUUUAAUGUCUAUCUAUCUAUCUGGAGGUAUAGUACUGUGUAAAUGACCAGGUGUUGUAUUUAAUGUCUAUCUAUCUAUCUGGAGGUAUAGUACUGUGUAAAUGACCAGGUGUUGUAUUUAAUGUCUAUCUAUCUAUCUGGAGGUAUAGUACUGUGUAAAUGACCAGGUGUUGUAUUUAAUGUCUAUCUAUCUAUCUGGAGGUAUAGUACUGUGUAAAUGACCAGGUGUUGUAUUUAAUGUCUAUCUAUCUAUCUGGAGGUAUAGUACUGUGUAAAUGACCAGGUGUUGUAUUUAAUGUCUAUCUAUCUAUUGUAUAAACAACUCCUGAAUUGUCCUCAUUAGUAAAUGAGUAAUGACUGAGUAAUGACUGUUUAUGCCCUAUCUGUGUGUCCUGUGUGUACAGUUUAUUCAUAUUCUUACUAUGACUAAGA